rnacentral:rRNA from 1 species
AUUGAACGCUGGCGGCAUGCCUUACACAUGCAAGUUGAACGGUAACAGGCCGCAAGGUGCUGACGAGUGGCGAACGGGUGAGUAAUGCAUCGGAACGUGCCCAGUCGUGGGGGAUAACUGCUCGAAAGAGCAGCUAAUACCGCAUACGACCUGAGGGUGAAAGCGGGGGACCGUAAGGCCUCGCGCGAUUGGAGCGGCCGAUGUCAGAUUAGCUAGUUGGUGGGGUAAAGGCCUACCAAGGCAACGAUCUGUAGUUGGUCUGAGAGGACGACCAGCCACACUGGGACUGAGACACGGCCCAGACUCCUACGGGAGGCAGCAGUGGGGAAUUUUGGACAAUGGGCGCAAGCCUGAUCCAGCAAUGCCGCGUGCAGGAAGAAGGCCUUCGGGUUGUAAACUGCUUUUGUCAGGGAAGAAAUCUUCUGGGCUAAUACCCCGGGAGGAUGACGGUACCUGAAGAAUAAGCACCGGCUAACUACGUGCCAGCCGCCGCGGUAAAAC